rnacentral:rRNA from 1 species
UACGUAGGGUCCGAGCGUUGUCCGGAAUUAUUGGGCGUAAAGAGCUCGUAGGCGGUCUGUCGCGUCGGCUGUGAAAGCCUGGGGCUCAACUCCAGGCCUGCAGUCGAUACGGGCAGACUAGAGUUCGGUAGGGGAGACUGGAAUUCCUGGUGUAGCGGUGAAAUGCGCAGAUAUCAGGAGGAACACCGGUGGCGAAGGCGGGUCUCUGGGCCGAAACUGACGCUGAGGAGCGAAAGCUAGGGGAGCGAACAGG